UACGUAGGGUGCAAGCGUUAAUCGGAAUUACUGGGCGUAAAGCGUGCGCAGGCGGUUUUGUAAGACAGGUGUGAAAUCCCCGGGCUUAACCUGGGAACUGCAUUUGUGACUGCAAGGCUGGAGUGCGGCAGAGGGGGAUGGAAUUCCGCGUGUAGCAGUGAAAUGCGUAGAUAUGCGGGGGAACACCGAUGGCGAAGGCAAUCCCCUGGGCCUGCACUGACGCUCAUGCACGAAAGCGUGGGGAGCAAACAGG
rnacentral:rRNA from 1 species